AGAGUGGGGUGGCUGGUUGGGGAGGGAACUGGAGUCUGUUGGCUGCUUUGUGAAGAAGAAAGAGUUAGUGCUCUCAGAAGCUGCCCAUAAGAAAACACUGAGAAGCAAUCUGGCAGAGCUCCAAGGGCACCCACUUGGGCCUCACUGAAGGUGACUGGAUGCCACAGAAUGAGGACAACUUCAUCAUCCCUUUCCCUAUGCCUGGGAAGGCUUGGCUGCUGUUGCCACAGCAUCUUUGGAUUGCAUACAGGAACGUUUAAUAGUGGACAAGCUGCCCCUCCCAGUGGUGACAGGAGUGGUUAAGACUGAUUUCUCAGGCUCUACCCUUUUCCUCUUAUGCACCACCACUUUAGACAUUCACGACAAAGACAGCUCUGCUUAGCACAGAACACUUUCAGAAUGGAGUGAUCUCCUGCUUUACAGCAAAACUCAUGGUCUGCUGCAACAUGAGAACAAAUAUGUAAUUUUAAAAGCACUUUUACCAUUCCUUUUAUGGUGUCAUCACCUGGUGGCUUAUGAAAAUAUCAGGCUUGGAGGCUUAGCUGUCUAGAACAAAGGGGAGAAGAAAGGGUGAGAUGAGCACAAGGGCUGAAUAUUCUCUUUUGGUCCCCAGACAGCCAGCCUGGCAGGCUGAGUGCCUGUUUCACUCCUCUGAGCCAUGCAGGGCUGAGUCAGCAGAAAGCAGGCGUGAUGUGAACAGCUGAUCCAUGACUACACAACACGAGAAUCCGUUCCUUUUGCUGCCAAUAGAGACAUUUCAACUUUGACUACAGAGAAGCCCCUUUUCACUUUAUUUUAAGGCAGCAGCCCUUAGGGUGGGUUGAGAACAGGAC